UGGCUCAGUUGGUAGAGCAUGGUGUGUGCAACGUCAGGGUUGUGGGUUCGAUUCCCAC
rnacentral:tRNA from 1 species